AUACUCAUAGUAAAUAUUCAGAAUAUUUCCUUAUUAAUUUAAAAGUUUUGACAUUUGACUUAAUAGCCUCCUUGAAGGUUGAGCAUGCAUGUCAACCACAUGGUAAAAUUAAAAACAGGAAAAAAUAGUUGAAUGUAUUUUUUUUGCAUCAUUUUUAGAUAAUUUAUGGACAAUAACUUCGGUAUUUAGAUUGCAUUUAUGUACCACUAUAAAUAAUUCCAAAAGCUGAAGUUAAAAAUUUAAUACUACAGGCUAAGUUAAAAUAAUUACUACAGCCCAAGUUGAAAUAUUUACAACAGCCAAAGUUGAAACUCCAAAAGCCUGAAAAUCCCACAUUGAAGAAGUACAGAGCUAGUUUCCCCGGGCCGUCUUCGGACAAGGGCCCGUUCCCCUUUUGAUACUAGGGGAUAAAUCUUGCGUACACACACACACACACACACACACACACACACACACAAAAGGCAGUCAUAAACCCCGACACGGUCUAGAUACCACUCGAUUUCUCGCGUGUUGUGUCGUUCGUUUCCAACAUCAAUGGCGAGAACACCAACUUGGAAGACGUUUCUUAUACUCUUCUCACACUUACGGAUGACGUGAUCGCCCACGUUGUCCGGAUUCAAAAUGGUGUAGGCUGGUCGGAGUCCUUCCGAGUUCCAGCUAACCCUGGACACACAGCAUACACCAAGAUCUUGCGCCUAACUGGCUGUCUCGCUUAGUUGAGAUGAAGGUUGUCCUCGUCACCAGGGUCUUUAGAUCUCGGCGGUGGGAGAGAUACAGGUACACGAUGAGUGUGGCCUCCCUCAUACUCCUGGACCCACCAUCACGCAAGUGUACCUGGACAGGCAAGGUAUGGGGGAUAUCGGCGACACACGAUGAGUGUGGCCUCCCUCAUACUCUUGGACCCACCGUCACGCAAGUGUACCUGGACAGGCAAGGUAUGGGGGAUAUCGGCGACACCUCGACUUACCUGGAUUUCUACUGGCUCUUAUAAGACAUACUUAAUGAGGUCAAAGGGUUUGCGGACGAGAACUGCUAUUAUCCCACCUAUUGGCCCGCCGCGUCAAAGGGUUUUCACUGAAUUUCUACUGGCUAGCUCAUGACAUGCUUAUUGAGGUCGAAGGGUUUUCGCUGAAUUUCUACUGGCUAGCUCAUGACAUGCUUAUUGAGGUCGAAGGGUUUUCGCUGAAUUUCUACUGGCUAGCUCAUGACAUACUUAUUGAGGUCGAAGGGUUUUCGCUGAAUUUCUACUGGCUACCUCAAGACAUACUUAUUGAGGUCGAACGGUUUUCACUGAAUUUCUACUGGCUAGCUCAUGACAUACUUAUUGAGGUCGAAGGGUUUUCACCGAAUUUCUACUGGCUAGCUCAUGACAUACUUAUUGAGGUCGAAGGGUUUUCACCGAAUUUCUACUGGCUAGCUCAUGACAUACUUAUUGAGGUCGAAGGGUUUUCACCGAAUUUCUACUGGCUAGCUCAUGGCAUACUUAUUGAGGUCAAAGGGUUUUCACCGAAUUUCUACUGGCUAGCUCAUGGCAUACUUAUUGAGGUCAAAGAGUUUUCACCGAAUUUCUACUGGCUAGCUCAUGGCAUACUUAUUGAGGUCAAAGGGUUUUCACCGAAUUUCUACUGGCUAGCUCAUGACAUACUUAUUGAGGUCAAAGGGUUUUCACCGAAUUUCUACUGGCUAGCUCAUGGCAUACUUAUUGAGGUCAAAGGGUUUUCGGAAGAGCACCGCUAUUAUCCAACGUAGGGGAUGAUUUUCAAACAGGUUUCAGGUAGGUCUCUUAAUCUAAAGAUGGUCACCGCCGGGCCUUUGAAGACGAAGGGGAUAAAGUUCAAACUGAACUCAGACAUGUCACUGAAUCUAAAGACUGUCACCGCCGGGCCUUAGAAAACGCAGGGGAUGAAGUUCAAACUGAGCUCGGGCAUGUCACUGAAUCUAAAGACAGUCACCGCCGGGCCUUAGAAAACGCAGGGGAUAAAGUUUCAAACUGAACUCGGGCAUGUCACUGAUCUAAAGACGGUCACCGCCGGGCCCUAGAAUACGCAGGGGUUGAAGUUCAAACUGAAUUCACCAGGAAGGGAAGGUAGACUUUCUCCAGCAGGAACAGCAUGAAGGGGAGGUCCAGGCCAGGCUCCACCCACCCACCCCUGUGGACAACAAGGG